rnacentral:rRNA from 1 species
GACGAACGCUGGCGGCGUGCUUAACACAUGCAAGUCGAACGGAAAGGCCCUGCUAUUGUGGGGUGCUCGAGUGGCGAACGGGUGAGUAACACGUGAGUAACCUGCCCUUGACUUUGGGAUAACUUCAGGAAACGGGGGCUAAUACCGGAUAGGAGCUCCUGCUGCAUGGGGGGGGUUGGAAAGUUUCGGCGGUUGGGGAUGGACUCGCGGCUUAUCAGCUUGUUGGUGGGGUAGUGGCUUACCAAGGCUUUGACGGGUAGCCGGCCUGAGAGGGUGACCGGCCCCAUUGGGACUGCGAUACGGCCCAGACUCCUACUUGAGGCAGCAGUGGCGAAUAUUGCACAAUGGGCGGAAGCCUGAUGCAGCAACGCCGCGUGCGGGAUGACGGCCUUCGGGUUGUAAACCGCUUUCGCCUGUGACGAAGCGUGAGUGACGGUAAUGGGUAAAGAAGCACCGGCUAACUACGUG